rnacentral:rRNA from 1 species
GUGCAGCAGUCGCGAAACCUCCGCAAUACACGAAAGUGUGACGGGGCCAUCCCGAGUGCCGUCCGCUGAGGACGGCUUUUCCCCAGUGUACACAGCUGGGGGAAUAAGGAGAGGGCAAGCCUGGUGUCAGCCGCCGCGGUAAUACCAGCUCUCCGAGUGGUGGGGACGCUUAUUGGGCCUAAAGCAUCCGUAGCCGGCUGGGCAAGUCCUCCGUUAAAUCCAACGAUUCAAUCGUUGGGCUGUGGGGGAUACUGUCCAGCUUGGGGGCGGGAGAGGCCGACGGUAUUCCCGGGGUAGGGUGAAAUCCUAUAAUCCCGGGAGGACCACCAGUGGCGAAGGCUGUCGGCUAGAACGCGCCCGACGGUGAGGGAUGAAAGCUGGGGGAGCGAACCGGAUUAGAUACCCCGGUAGU